CUAAAAAAAGCGAUCUCUCUCUCUCUCUUUCUCUCUCCAAAAGAUCUCUCUCUCUCUCUCUCUCUCUCUCCAAGAAGCGAUCUUGUCGUCGAACUCCUCCAGGUCCUUCAACCCUCCUCCUCCACGAUCUUGCCGUCGAGCUCCAUCUCCGCCUUCACCCUCCUCCUCCGCGAUCUCGCCGUCGAGCUCCUCCUCCUCCUUCACCCCUCCUCCUCCGCGAUCUCACCGUCGACCUCCUCCUCCGCCUUCACCCCUCCUCCUCCGCGAUCUCGCUGUGAACCUCCUCCUCCGCCUUUCUCUCGAGCUCUCUCUCUCUCUCUCCCUCUCUUGAUCCGCGAGCGCAGUUGCCACUGGAGAUGCUCAUUCUGAAAGUGCUGUUGGCAUAUAAAAACUUGCCAAGCUAGGCCAUGGGAGAAGAGCAAUCUUGGGAGAAGAAGAAGAGGAAACAGAGUUUCUGUCCACAUUUAUUUCUCUCGAGUUAUAUUUGUUCUUUUCUCUCGAGUGGGGGAUGUCUGCAAUUAUUUGGAAAUUGUUGAUAUGUACAACCUACUGAACUAUAAGUGUCCUCUCUUGUUUCUGCUGUAUCUUUGCCUGAAACGAAGCCGUGUAUCUUUCUGCCUUCUAUCUAAGAAAUAUGUCUUUGGUUUGCUGGUUUCUGAGAGCAAGUGUUUCGGAUUUUUCUUUUUUAUUGGCGAAAUAAUAUCUUGGAGUUUCGGUAUAAGCUUCUUAAAGAGAAGAAUGUAAGGUGUAGUUUGGUUGGGAUGCUUGAUUGUAACAAGAGGAAAUUCUUCCUUAAAUAUGGGGUUUGUUGAUUGUCAAUUUUGUUUAGAAUUCUGUAGUAGAUUUGAACAUUUUGAUGAGUAAGAGUUUGAGCAUGUUUCCU